rnacentral:rRNA from 1 species
UACAGAGGGUGCGAGCGUUAAUCGGAAUUACUGGGCGUAAAGGGCUCGUAGGCGGUGUAUUAAGUUAGAUGUGAAAUCCCUGGGCUUAACCUAGGAACUGCAUCUAAUACUGGUACGCUAGAGUGCAGUAGAGGGUAGUGGAAUUUCCGGUGUAGCGGUGAAAUGCGUAGAUAUCGGAAGGAACACCAGUGGCGAAGGCGGCUACCUGGACUGACACUGACGCUGAGGCGCGAGAGCGUGGGGAGCAAACAGG